UUGCUUCAGUGGCAAAUCUACUAAAACUGGAAUGAGACACAAAGAAGGUUUACAUGGGCCCUGCCCAAGGAUUACACACAAGUGUGUGUGAGAGAAGAAAUGUGC
ensembl:snRNA U6 U6 spliceosomal RNA